rnacentral:rRNA from 1 species
GAUGAACGCUGGCGGCGUGCCUAAUACAUGCAAGUCGAGCGAACGGACGAGAUGCUUUCUUUUCUGAGUUUAUCGGCGGACGGGUGAUUAACACGUGGAUAAUCUACCGAUAAGAUUUGCAUGACUUCGGGAAACCGGAGCUGAUACCGGGUGAUAUUUUGGAUCGGUUGGUUCAAAAGUGUAAGACGGUUUUUCUGUCACUUAUGGAUGGGUUCGCGGUGCAUUAGCUAGUUGGUAAGGUAACGGCUUACCAAGGCAGCGAUGAAUAGCCGACCUGAGAGGGUGAUCGGCGACACUGGAACUGAGACACGGUGCAGACGCCUACGGGAGGCAGCAGUAGGGAAUCUUACGGAAAGGGCGAAAGCAGGACGGAGCAGCGCCGCGUGGGGGGUGAAGGUCUUCGGAUCGUAAAGCUCUGUUAUUGGGGAAGAACAUAGGUGUAAGUGACUGUGGACAUCUUGACGGUAGCUAAUCAGAAAGCCACGGCUAACUACGUG